UACGGAGGGUGCGAGCGUUGUUCGGAAUCACUGGGCGUAAAGGGCGUGUAGGCGGUCCGCUAAGUCUGAUGUGAAAGCCCGGGGCUCACCCCCGGAAGUGCAUUGGAAACUGGCGGACUCGAGUCCCGGAGAGGAGGGUGGAAUUCCUGGUGUAGCGGUGAAAUGCGUAGAUAUCAGGAGGAACACCGGUGGCGAAGGCGGCCCUCUGGACGGUGACUGACGCUGAGGAGCGAAAGCAUGGGGAGCGAACAGG
rnacentral:rRNA from 1 species